rnacentral:rRNA from 1 species
AGUGAACGCUGGCGGUAGGCCUAACACAUGCAAGUCGAACGGCAGCACAGUAAGAGCUUGCUCUUACGGGUGGCGAGUGGCGGACGGGUGAGGAAUACAUCGGAAUCUACUUUUUCGUGGGGGAUAACGUAGGGACACUUACGCUAAUACCGCAUACGACCUACGGGUGAAAGCAGGGGAUCUUCGGACCUUGCGCGAUUGAAUGAGCCGAUGUCGGAUUAGCUAGUUGGCGGGGUAAAGGCCCACCAAGGCGACGAUACGUAGCUGGUCUGAGAGGAUGAUCAGCCACACUGGAACUGAGACACGGUCCAGACUCCUACGGGAGGCAGCAGUGGGGAAUAUUGGACAAUGGGCGCAAGCCUGAUCCAGCCAUACCGCGUGGGUGAAGAAGGCCUUCGGGUUGUAAAGCCCUUUUGUUGGGAAAGAAAAGCAGCAGGUUAAUACCCCGCUGUUCUGACGGUACCCAAAGAAUAAGCACCGGCUAACUUCGUG